rnacentral:rRNA from 1 species
CCUACGGGGGGCAGCAGUGGGGGAUAUUGCACAAUGGGGGGAACCCUGAUGCAGCGACGCCGCGUGGGUGAAGAAGCGCCUCGGCGCGUAAAGCCCUGUCAGCAGGGAAGAAAAUGACGGUACCUGAAGAAGAAGCCCCGGCUAACUACGUGCCAGCAGCCGCGGGAAUACGUAGGGGGCAAGCGUUAGCCGGAUUUACUGGGUGUAAAGGGGGCGCAGACGGCGAUGCAAGCCAGGAGUGAAAGCCCGGGGCCCAACCCCGGGACUGCUCUUGGAACUGCGUGGCUGGAGUGCAGGAGGGGCAGGCGGAAUUCCUGGUGUAGCGGUGAAAUGCGUAGAUAUCAGGAGGAACACCGGUGGCGAAGGCGGCCUGCUGGACUGCAACUGACGUUGAGGCCCGAAAGCGUGGGGAGCAAACAGGAUUAGAUACCCGGGUAGUC